UACGUAGGUGGCGAGCGUUGUCCGGAUUUACUGGGCGUAAAGAGCGCGCAGGCGGUCGUACAAGUCGCGUGUGAAAGCCCCCGGCUCAACUGGGGAGGGUCACGCGAUACUGUUCGACUCGAAGGCAGGAGAGGGAAGUGGAAUUCCCGGUGUAGUGGUGAAAUGCGUAGAUAUCGGGAGGAACACCAGUGGCGAAGGCGGCUUUCUGGCCUGUUCUUGACGCUGAGGCGCGAAAGCUAGGGGAGCGAACGGG
rnacentral:rRNA from 1 species